AACGAACGCUGGCGGUGUGCUUAACACAUGCAAGUCGAACGAGAACGUUUCCUUCGGGGAACUAGUAAAGUGGCGCAAGGGUGAGUAACACGUGAAUAAUCUGCCCUCGAGAUCGGGAUAACUUGGCGAAAGCUAGGCUAAUACCGGAUAAGACCACAUUUCAUAAGAAAUGCGGAAAAAGGAGUCUCAACCUUCACUCGAGGAUGAGUUCGCGGACCAUUAGCUUGUUGGUGAGAUAAAAGCUCACCAAGGCUACGAUGGAUAGCCGGCCUGAGAGGGUGAUCGGCCACACUGGAACUGAGACACGGUCCAGACUCCUACGGGAGGCAGCAGUGGGGAAUAUUGCGCAAUGGGCGAAAGCCUGACGCAGCAACACCGUGUGAGCGAUG
rnacentral:rRNA from 1 species